rnacentral:lncRNA from 1 species
AAUUUUCUUGUUGAUUUUUUUCCGAAUUCGAUUGGCUAUGGUGGUGAUGAAGGAGGCAGGUGCUCUUUUAGGGCUCUGUUUGAGGUCGCUCUCUUCGUUCGAGCUUGCUUCUUUUUGAGCUGCGCGGGGCUCGAAUUGUUUUCCUUGGGAGCAAUUCGGUCUCUUUCUGUGGAGAAUUGGCUCUUGUGGUAGGCUGUGCUGGGAGGGUGGGGGGAUUGGAUUGGUCCUUACUACACGUC